rnacentral:rRNA from 1 species
AUUAUAUUAUGGGAACUUGGCAAUUCUUAAUUUUAGCUGUUUAAUAAAAACAUGUCUUUUUGUUUAUUUAUUUUAAGUUAGACCUGCCCAAUGAUUUUAUAUUUAAUGGCUGCAGUAUUUUAACUGUACGAAGGUAGCAUAAUCAUUUGUCUAAUAAUUGUAGUCUAGAAUGAAAGGUUUUAUAAAAAUUAAUCUUUCUUUAUUAUAUAUAUAUGAAUUUAUUUUUUUAGUUAAAAAACUAAAAUAUUUUUAUGGGACGAGAAGACCCUAUAGAACUUAAUAUAAAUAAAUAUAAAUUUAUAUUUAUUUAUAUUAAAUUGGGGAGAUUAUGAUUUUUAAUUAACAAUUAUUUUUUUAUCAAUGAUUUUUGAUUUUUUGAUCCAAUUUUUUGAUUAUAAGAUUAAGUUACCUUAGGGAUAACAGCGUAAUUUAUUUGGAGAGUUCAUAUCUAUAAUUUAAGUUUGCGACCUCGAUGUUGAAUUAAGAUAAAAGUUAGGGGUAGAUUUUUGUAUUUUUUGGUCUGUUCGACCAUUAAUUUCUUACAUGAUUUGAGUUUAGACCGGUGUAAGCCAGGUCGGUUUCUAUCUUUAAUGUUUAUAGUAUUGUUUUUUAGUACGAGAGGACCAAAAAUUUAAUAAAGAUUUU